AAGGGCCAAAUAUACCCCUGUACUGUGAGAAAAUGUUUAAAUAUACCCUUCGUUAUACUUUGAGUUCAAAUAUACCCUACCGUUAUACUAUUAAUUCAAAUAUACCCCUCUUCCGAUAAGUUUGUCCAAGGUGGACAUCCAAUCCUACGUGGUAAUGACAUUUGAUGAGGUGGCUGCCACGUGGCAUGCCACCUCAGCACCCUUUACCCAUUUUACCCUCUUAUCUAUUUGCUUUUCCACCACUAACCACCAUUAUGACUGUUACCGCCACCAUGAAAAAUAUUGUAAUUCAAAGCUUAGUCUUUUAUAUAUAUUUGUUUCUCCACUCAUCUCUCGCAUUGGGUUCAAUACAAUCUGAAGCUUCUCGAAUUUCAGGUGAAGUGCUCAAAGCAUUUGCAGAUUGCCCAACCACAGAUCCUCACGUUAGCACUGCCACGGGACACCGGUCCUGUCCCCAGCAUUAAGUCUCAUAUUGUUCAGAUACUCCGAUUUGGUGUGAGUUGACUGGCUGGAAAAUCAAUAUUGUCCAUGGUGGUGGUAAUGGUGGUGAUGGUGGAGGGAAAUGGAAUUUUUAGUGGUGGAAAAACAAAUAGAGGGGAGGGUAAAAUGGGUAAAGGGUGUUGAGGUGGUAUGGCACGUGGCAUCCACCUCAUCAAAUGUCAUUGCCACGUAGGAUUAGAUGUCCACCUUGGACAAACUUAACGGAAGAGGGGUAUAUUUGAA